rnacentral:tRNA from 1 species
GAAGGUAUAGCUCAGUGGUAGAGUGUGUGCUUAGAAUGAACCAGGUCCUGGGUUCAAUCCCCAGUACCUCCA